rnacentral:rRNA from 1 species
GAUGAACGCUGGCGGCGUGCCUAAUACAUGCAAGUCGAGCGAACAGACGAGGAGCUUGCUCCUCUGACGUUAGCGGCGGACGGGUGAGUAACACGUGGAUAACCUACCUAUAAGACUGGGAUAACUUCGGGAAACCGGAGCUAAUACCGGAUAAUAUAUUGAACCGCAUGGUUCAAUAGUGAAAGACGGUUUUGCUGUCACUUAUAGAUGGAUCCGCGCCGCAUUAGCUAGUUGGUAAGGUAACGGCUUACCAAGGCGACGAUGCGUAGCCGACCUGAGAGGGUGAUCGGCCACACUGGAACUGAGACACGGUCCAGACUCCUACGGGAGGCAGCAGGAGGGAAUCUUCGGAAAGGGGCGAAAGCCUGACGGAGCAACGCGGCGUGAGUGAUGAAGGGCUUCGGAUCGUAAAACCCUGUUAUUAGGGAAGAAAAAAUGUGUAAGUAACGAUGCACGUCUUGACGGUACCAAAGCAGAAAGCCACGGCUAACUACGG